UUCUGCUCUACUUUCAGACCACCAUAAACUAAGCAACUUUGCUUGGCCAAUAACCCCUUCCACCAUGAUGGUCUUACCUUUGGGCCAGCAGACAAUGGACUGAGUCAUCUGAAACCCCCGGCCAAACUAAACCUCUCCUCCUUAGCUCCCAGACUGCUUUUGGGCGAGUCUGACUUGGCAGAGAGUUUUGGGCCAGAAGACUUACUCCUGAAACAAGGUUGCUGCAGGUGUGAGAGAAGAAGCAUGCUCACUGUUCUUCAUGUGCUUGGGGUCAAGAGGGAAUAAUAAGGCAUUGACACAAGUUCCACAACAGAAAAUUAUCCACUAGCCACUCGUAGGCUGCAAGAGAAAUGAGAUCAUACGUGUGCAUCAGAUCUCGGGGAGAGAGGAGAGAAGCCAUCGAAAGUGUUACAUGGCGACUUCUGGUGUCUGAUUGAGUGUGUGAAGAUCUUGGUUGAGUCGUCACUUCCUUCCACAUAAGAAGAAAAAUGUAGUUAAACUCAGUUCAAGGACUCUUAGUAGAUCCACAGGAGAAUGAAGGUCACCGGUGACUCACUGCCUCCAGAAUUGGGGAGACAGUCUGGUGGAUAUGGAUAUUAAAUACACAUGUGGGAGCAGAAGCCCAGGAACAGAAAGCCCCAGGGGUACCCACACUGUGUUAAAUGGAGGCUCAGUGUGUACAAGUCCCAGAGAGUCAAACUCCGGUGGACCAAGACUUAUCAAGGCCCCACCCAGCUUUCACAAUGGAGAUCAGAGCCAAGUCCCCUCAUCCUUCUGUAGCGGGAGGGGAAAUGAGCCUUCAUGAAGUAGCUGGAGCAUUCUGUUCUUAGGAAGAUCUUUUCUCAGGAGCAGCUCUUUUGCCAGAGUCUAACCGAUGAACCUGUGCAGAGCCUGAAUCUCCAAUGCCACCCUCCUUGCUUUCCCCGGGGAAGAUGGGGAGGAGACCUCAGGAGCGUACUGAACGGCACAGCUGAGGGACACAGGCUCAGUAACAGACUGAGAGCUUAUCAUCGGGCUGUAGGCUGUAUCUCCUCCCUCUCUCCCCCUCGAACACAUUGAAGGUUUCUGUAUACUAACUCAGAAAUAUUACUGAAAGAAGCACACUGCUCAGACCGGAUCAUACUCAAACUUAAGAAAAUCAAGGACAAAGGGAAUUUUGAAAGAAACCAGGGAAAAAGAAACUUUUACUUAAGGGGAGCAAAGAUAAUGAAAAUGGACUUCUCUUUAGAAAUCAUGAAAGCCAAAACAAAUCUAGUAAAAUAUUUAUACUUGUGAAAGGAAAAAAAAUUCUCACUCUGUAAAAUUCUGUACUGAGUGAAAUCAUCCUUCAAAAGUGAAGUACAAAAAUAAUGUCUUUUUAUAGAUGGAAUUUGUUGCCUGUGGAUAUGCUGUGGAAGAAAUGUUAAAAGAAAUUAUUCAGAAACAAGAAAAAUAGCAUGUGUCAGAAACCUGGAGCAACAUAAAUAAAGGGAGAGUGUUAGGGGAUAUGUGAGGGUAAAAUAAAAUAUUUUUCUCAUUCUAAACUGAUGUAUGACAUGAUUGUUUAAAGUAAUAAUGGCAAUGUUGAAAUUUGGUGACAAGUGACAGUGGUGUUAGGACAGAUGGGCGGGGGGAAUUAGGACUGUUCUGAAUUCCCUGCACUGCUGUGAGGUGGUACAAUGUCAUCUGAAAGAAGACUGAGUCAGUUGUAGAGUGCAAACUCAAGGAUGACCACUAAAACAGCUUAUAAAUGAAAAUGAAAAUGUAGGGGCUGAGGAUUUAGCUCAGUGGCAUAAGUGCCUGCCUGGCAAGCACUAGGUCAUGAGUUGGAUCUCUGGUACCAAAAGAAAAAAAAUUAAAAUACAAAUGUAAUUGAACUAACGAGAGAAAUAAAAAUCAGAAUAAUAUCAAAUGCUCAAAAGAAGACAAAAAUAGUGGAAGAUGAAAAGAAGCCAAGAACAAAAGCAGCAGAUGGAAAACAGUUACAAAAACUGUAGAUAUUAGUAUCAUCAUGGAAAAGUUUUACUUAUCAAAACCGGUUUUUACUGUAGUAAACAAGGUUGCAGUUACGCUGACUACUGUGUGGAUCUAUUUUUAUCACUUACUAAUUCUGGACUUUUCCUAGGUUUCUUUCUCUCUGCCUUACUUUUUUCAUCUUUUGAAAGGGAUGAGCAGCCUGUUCAGUAGCAGCGUCUGGAAUCCCAGCACUUGGGAGGUUGAGGAGGGAGAAUUGCUAUAAACUUAUCCUGGGCACACAGUGAGUUCAAAGCCUGCCUGCGCUACCACACGGAGACCCUGUCUCAAAAAAUCCACCCCUUGCAAAAAGAGAAAAACUCAAAGAGGGGAAUAGGGAAGAAUAAUAACCAACCAUAAUACUGUAGAUUUAAAUGAGAUAAUACACAGUAAAAUCUUCACUGCAGCACCUAGCACAGAAUAAGCACUCA